AAACUCUUGUGUUUCAUAAGUGUGAUCACAUGCAUGUGUGAGAUGUGUCCCCCUCAAAUAUUGUUAGGCUGUUGGCACAUUACCCAUAUGAUG
ensembl:snoRNA